CGUCUCUGCCUCUCUCUGCAAAGUUUGUUUAGAUGAAAGCGUUUGUCUAGCAGGCAGCAGCGUGGCUACGCAUUAAAAACCUGAGCACGAAGCAACCACACUACUUGACAUCCUUCCACUGCUCCAAAGCCUCCUGAGGGGGAAGAGGCAUAGUUGUGCCAUCUUCAAGACUGUGAUUCAUGCCUACAGAUAACCUGAGCCCUAGGACCAUACGUCAGGACUACCGGGCAUGCUGACACCUUGCUGUCCCCAGUCCGCCCGGCCUUGCUGCUAUUCCAGUUUCAACUGUUUCUGCCUGCGGUUACGAAACCCCUACCUGUCCCAGACCUGCUGUUUUCAACUCUUAAUGAUCGGCUAUGAAAAGCCAACUGAGAUUUAUUCCUGAUUAUUAUUUGACCAUGCUUGUCAUUUAUGAACAUUUUGAAAAUCUUGGCUCUCUCUAAUUUUCUCCUUCUCUCUUUCUCUCGGAGGACCUGAGCCCUAGGACCAUACGUCGGGACUACCGGCCGUGGUGACUCCUUGCUGCCCCCAGUCAGCCUGGCCUUGCUGCUAUUCCAGUUUCAACUCUUCUGCCUGCGGUUAUGGAACCCCUACCUGUCCCAGACCUGCUGUUUUCAACUCUUAAUGAUCGGCUAUGAAAAGCCAACUGAGAUUUAUUCCUGAUUAUUAUUUGACCAUGCUUGUCAUUUAUGAACAUUUUGAAAAUCUUGGCUCUCUCUAAUUUUCUCCUUCUCUCUUUCUUUCUCUCGGAGGACCUGGGCCCUAGGACCAUGCGUCGGGACUGCCGCCCGUGGUGACUCCUUGCUGUCCCCAGUCCGCCUGGCCUUGCUGCUAUUCCAGUUUCAGCUGUUCUGCCUGCGGUUAUGGAACCGCCACCUGUCCCAGACCUGUUGUUUUUCAACUCUUAAUGAUCAGCUAUGAAAAGCCAACUGAAAAUUAUUCAUGAUUAUUAUUUGACCAUGCUUGUCACUUAUGAACAUUUUUGAACAUCUUGGCAUAGUUCUGUUAUAAUCUCCACCCGGCACAGCCAGAAGAGGACUGGCCACCCCUCAUAGCCUGGUUCCUCUCUAGGUUUCUUCCUAGGUUUUGGCCUUUCUAGGGAG